rnacentral:lncRNA from 1 species
GGUUGGCGCUGCGGUGGCGUUUCCUACUGUGGUAGCCUCCGCUUCCCAGUCGUCUGCUGAGCUUGAGCAGGUGAGGGGGAUGCUCCUGGACUUCCAGGUUGGGGAGCGGGGCUGGGCCGCGCCAGGCCGCGCGGGGCCGGGUUGGCUUGGUUCCCGGCCUGGGAGGGGCUUAACGGUCCUUUGAUCUCUCUCUCUCCCCUCAGCUGAGUCCCUUCCCUGUCUUUCACUCUUCUGGCAUCGGUGGCUUUACUUCUUCGAUUGAGCUCUGCUUCCUCGACCCCCCGGGAGGCCGCCUCCUUCAGGCGCCUCCCUUCUCUCUACGAACUCGCUCUGACAGCCGAGGAACUGGCAAGAUCCUGCACCCAGAGGGUGAAUGGGUAUCUUUCCCGGAAUAAUCCUAAUUUUUCUAAGGGUGAAGUUUGCAACGGCGGCAGUGAUUGUAAGCGGAGUAAGCAACCCCCUCCAUUGUAUAAGUGUGAGGGAUGCUGUUGAAAGAUGCUCCCCAUCACUUCCUAUCCCCCUGUCACUCGUGAGGUUCAGGCAUUGAAGGCAUCUAUUAAAAUGCAGUUCAGUUACUUGAUUGGGAUCACAGCUAUUAUCAACAUGAAUUUUGUUUCUCAGACAAGGUAGUAGCAGGGACAUUUAUAGUUUUCUACCAGUGUGUCCUUGCCCAAACCAUAGAGAUGCCUAGACUAGAAAUUAACUCUUUCCUCCUCUUCAUUUAUAUCAUGAAGUGUCUUUUGUCAAUGUCUCAACAGUUUAACCUCAUUGUCAAUUAGCAUUCUUUUUUUUUUUUUUUGCCUGCUUCCCACUCUCCUAAGCUAUUUUCCUACCUCUUCUGUUUGCAAUCCACCGUGCUCGGGGUCCCUAGUAGCUAAUUACAAUAGGCUAUUACCUUAAUUCACUUGCCUAUUAAUAGAUCUAGUCUUCCUCCAGCACCUUGUUUCCAAGCCUUCCAGUAGAAUCUACCCCUUUUACUUGUUUCAGCCAACAAAUUUAUUGCUUAUUCUGCUCGGGUCCUUCAUUUCUGUCUCAGUACAAACCAUUGGUGCACAUUUCUACAUGAGUGUGCGCAUUUGCACAUCUUACCCCACCUAGAUGUCUCCCUUCCCUGCUCCUUUUUUUUAUAUUAAAGAUUUAUUUAUUUAUUAUAUGUAAGUACCCUGUAGCUAUCUUCAGACACUCCAGAAGAGGGCAUCAGAUCUCAUUACGGAUGGUUGUGAGCCACCGUGUGGUUGCUGGGAUUUGAACUCAGGACCUUCGGAAGAACAGUCAGUGCUCUUACCCGCUGAGCCAUCUCGCCAGCCCCUCCUUCCCUGCACCUAACCAGAUUCAGUCGGCUCUGUGGAAACCCGGCUUAAGUUCUCUCACUUCCAACAGCUUUUACAAGUUGUUUACACACAUGCGAUUGUUUUCUGUGCUUCUCUUGAUCUCAUAGACUGCUCUACGUUUUAACACUUCAUUUUUCUCUAACAAAGUAUUCAAUUUCAUCCACCAGAUGAUUGGGCAGAAAAGAUAGGAAGAAUGGCAAUUACUGUCUUUUGUUAGAUUAUAUUUGUGAAUUUAUUGGUUUUUUUUUUUUUUUUGUAACAGGGUUUCGCUAUAUAGAUCAGGCUGGCUGCACUCACCGAGAUCCACCCAUUUUAUCUCUCAGGUGCUGGAUUCAAAGGCAGGCAUCACCACACCCUGCUGUGAUUACAAAACAAACAAACAUGACCAAUUAGAUUAUUAACAAAUUGCUGGUUUGAGUAUUGAGUAUGCCUUCAACACAUAGAUUUAGGCUCCCAAUUGCUAUCUUCUAAACAUGAGAAUUUCUAAUACCUACUCUUUCUUAAAGGAGAAACCAAGAAGGUUAACCAGAAUUUCCUGACCAGACUUUGAAGUAAGUGUAGGGGCUAUAUAAUAUGGAUUCUAGGAUCUUUUAUUUUCACUUGUUAGGCUAUCAAGAUAGCCAUAAUCAGAUCUUAUGAAGAGAUGUACAAAUUCUGAAGCCAGAUUUUACUGGUAUCUUUCUAUAAUAAAAAUAUUUAGGGUACUGUAUUUAUAUUGUUCCUUAGAUAAUGACUUCUGUAUUUUCACCCAAAACUGAGGUUAACAUUUACAAGUCAAAAUAACUUUGAAAGGAGUUUGGUAUACUUUACAAAGCAAUUCUCUGCAACAAAACCAAGAGGCAAGGGUUUGUAGGUAGAAACUUUGGCAAUGAGAGUGUUGAGCAGGGUGUAUAGUAUAGUCUAGAGGCAGCAAAUUCCUUUUGCGGCUUCCUCUAUAAUGGUUUAUAUACAGUUGCAUACACAAGAUAGUCAACGACUGGUUUGUUUGGACUCAUUCUGUGAUAACUCCUAUGAGGUUUAUAAGAAGUUUUGCAAAGUGUGGUGUCGUCUUUUUAGGAAUCUUACCUAUUUAAGAGGGGAAGAGACAGGACACCUAGAGAAUAAACCUCACCUUACUCAUCAUUUUAUGCCUGAAUUUAAGAUGUCAGAGAAAAAAGGUUCUCAGAAAUAUGCAUAGCUGUAGAACAGGUGGGACAUAACUUGCAUACAUGAUACAGCUUUGUGUGAAAGACGGGUAUUUGCUGGAACAUUAAUGUUUCAGUUGUGGAAUGUGCCUCUCUCAAAGAAACAGAGGUUUUCAGCCUUAGUAACUAAAUUAAAACACAUAGGAUGUAGGAAACGAUCAGGAGUAUUUAGUCUGAGAAAGAAAAUAUAGAAACAUGAAAACUGACUUUAAAUAUUUGAAGGGCUCCUUUGGGGGAAAAUUAAUUUGUUCAGUGUACCUCUAAAUUGUUCUAGUAUGAGGAAGGGGUGGUAUAAAGUCUAAUCAGAAGUGAUACAAAAUUUCUUUCGUGAUUUUCCUUUCUAACAUUGAACUGAAAGAGUUUAUCUUGUGUGACUGGGGAGGUGCUAUAAGGGACCAUCUUGAUUUUGGUCAGUUGUCUACAGGGUUGAGUAAUUUUAUGGGCUAAUGAAAUUUAAAUCAAAGUAUGGUGGUGGGGAUACCUAUAAAGAUUGGUAUGCUUAUUUUAUCAAAUAAGGGCAUUAAAUAUUAACUACUCAUUACCAUUAUCAUUUUAUAUAAGAUGAUUUGUCAGUGUCCCAGGGAUAAUGAUAUAAUUAAUAGCCAUCUAAUGGCAUAUAUUUAGCC